UACGAAGGGGGCUAGCGUUGUUCGGAAUUACUGGGCGUAAAGGGCGCGUAGGCGGCUGUGCAAGUCAGGUGUGAAAGCCCUGGGCUCAACCCAGGAUGUGCACUUGAUACUGCGCGGCUAGAGUGUCGGAGAGGAUGGUGGAAUUCCACGUGUAGCGGUGAAAUGCGUAGAUAUGUGGAGGAACACCGAUGGCGAAGGCAGCCUUCUGGGCCAACACUGACGCUCAUGCACGAAAGCGUGGGGAGCAAACAGG
rnacentral:rRNA from 1 species